rnacentral:rRNA from 1 species
CCAUGCCGCGUGAGUGAUGAAGGCCUUAGGGUUGUAAAGCUCUUUCAGCGGGGAAGAUAAUGACGGUACCCGAAGAAGAAGCUGCGGCUAACUACGUGCCAGCAGCCGCGGUAAUACGUAGGCAGCGAGCGUUGUCGGAGUUACUGGGCGUAAAGCGUGCGUAGGCGGUGGUCCAAGUCUGGUGUGAAAUCUCCCGGCUCAACUGGGAGGGUGCGCCGGAAACUGGGCCGCUGGAGUGCGGGAGAGGCAAGCGGAAUUCCAGGUGUAGCGGUGAAAUGCGCAGAUAUCUGGAGGAACACCCGUGGUGCAGACGGCUUGCUGGACCGUGACUGACGCUGAGGCACGAAAGCGUGGGUAGCAAACAGGAUUAGAUACCCUGGUAGUCCACGCCCUAAACGAUGCACACUUGGUGUGGGCAGUUCAGUCUGUCCGUGCCGAAGCUAACGCGAUAAGUGUGCCGCCUGGGGAGUACGGUCGCAAGGCUG